GAUGAACGCUGGCGGCGUGCCUAAUACAUGCAAGUCGAGCGAACGGACGAGAAGCUUGCUUCUCUGAUGUUAGCGGCGGACGGGUGAGUAACACGUGGAUAACCUACCUAUAAGACUGGGAUAACUUCGGGAAACCGGAGCUAAUACCGGAUAAUAUUUUGAACCGCAUGGUUCAAAAGUGAAAGACGGUCUUGCUGUCACUUAUAGAUGGAUCCGCGCUGCAUUAGCUAGUUGGUAAGGUAACGGCUUACCAAGGCAACGAUGCAUAGCCGACCUGAGAGGGUGAUCGGCCACACUGGAACUGAGACACGGUCCAGACUCCCACGGGAGGCAGCAGUAGGGAAUCUUCCGCAAUGGGCGAAAGCCUGACGGAGCAACGCCGCGUGAGUGAUGAAGGUCUUCGGAUCGUAAAACUCUGUUAUUAGGGAAGAACAUAUGUGUAAGUAACUGUGCACAUCUUGACGGUACCUAAUCAGAAAGCCACGGCUAACUACGUGCCAGCAGCCGCGGUAAUACGUAGGUGGCAAGCGUUAUCCGGAAUUAUUGGGCGUAAAGCGCGCGUAGGCGGUUUUUUAAGUCUGAUGUGAAAGCCCACGGCUCAACCGUGGAGGGUCAUUGGAAACUGGAAAACUUGAGUGCAGAAGAGGAAAGUGGAAUUCCAUGUGUAGCGGUGAAAUGCGCAGAGAUAUGGAGGAACACCAGUGGCGAAGGCGACUUUCUGGUCUGUAACUGACGCUGAUGUGCGAAAGCGUGGGGAUCAAACAGGAUUAGAUACCCUGGUAGUCCACGCCGUAAACGAUGAGUGCUAAGUGUUAGGGGGUUUCCGCCCCUUAGUGCUGCAGCUAACGCAUUAAGCACUCCGCCUGGGGAGUACGACCGCAAGGUUGAAACUCAAAGGAAUUGACGGGGACCCGCACAAGCGGUGGAGCAUGUGGUUUAAUUCGAAGCAACGCGAGGAACCUUACCAAAUCUUGACAUCCUUUGACAACUCUAGAGAUAGAGCCUUCCCCUUCGGGGGACAAAGUGACAGGUGGUGCAUGGUUGUCGUCAGCUCGUGUCGUGAGAUGUUGGGUUAAGUCCCGCAACGAGCGCAACCCUUAAGCUUAGUUGCCAUCAUUAAGUUGGGCACUCUAAGUUGACUGCCGGUGACAAACCGGAGGAAGGUGGGGAUGACGUCAAAUCAUCAUGCCCCUUAUGAUUUGGGCUACACACGUGCUACAAUGGACAAUACAAAGGGCAGCGAAACCGCGAGGUCAAGCAAAUCCCAUAAAGUUGUUCUCAGUUCGGAUUGUAGUCUGCAACUCGACUACAUGAAGCUGGAAUCGCUAGUAAUCGUAGAUCAGCAUGCUACGGUGAAUACGUUCCCGGGUCU
rnacentral:rRNA from 1 species